rnacentral:tRNA from 1 species
GCGGGCGUUGGUGGUGAGUGCGCAGACGGGGCACUUGAGUGUGCGCCUACGCGCGGGGCCGGACGGCAGCGUACUGUAAAUCUGUCGGCGUAUGCCUUCCAAGGUUCGAAUCCUUGACCCGCCA